AGACUAGCAGGGUGUCAAUCUCCACCCUUCAGGGCUGGAUGGAUACAUUUGUUAGCCCAACAGAAGGAUGCAAAAGAAGUAGGCAGUGAUUGGACUUCACAAUCUGAGAAGGGAAUAUGGUUCCUCAUGCUUUUACAGCUCCAUGAUUCCUUAAAGAUCGGCAGCAUCCCUCGCUCUGCCGUUCUAUAGGCCACGUCGAUAUCUCUGACUGCUCUGGAGAGAGAACACAAUCAAAGCUUUGUUAAAAUCUAAACAUGGCAGCAACGUUUGGAAAAAGUUGCCAAAUUAAGAGAGAAUUCAUGUUGGAUUAAGUGUUCUGAACUGAGGGUAAUAUUAACACCACAAGAAGCCGAGAUGAAAGGAUUUCUUUAUGUGACAGCUGCAGGUGUUCUGUAACUCCUUACUGUGGCUGUGAUAAGUUUAGAAGCCUUGAAGCUGCAGAUGGAUGUAAGAGAUUGUGACUCACUCGGAACAACAGGGGAACACAUGACUAAUUUCUCUCAUAAGUUUGACGCAUGUGUGCUUUGUGGGUGAUUAAAAGCCCAAACAGCUAUAGUCUAUAAUACAAAGAACCCUGCAAUA